UGCUUCUUCUUCUUCUUCUUCCUUAGUCCACCGUAGGGUUUUGCAGGGUUCCGUCCAUUUUCAUUCAUUCAUUCAUCACUCACACACUCAUACACUAUGCAUUCCAUCUCCAUAUGACGCCAUUUCUCGACACCUACAACGUUGUUUCCAUCGACACCUCACAACAUCAUCGUACACGGUACGCUAUAUCGCCCCUUUCACUUUUUUCCGCCGCUCUUCUAUUAGUAGAACCCUUAUGUUUUCAAUUCAAUGGAUAUCCAUAAAAUUUCUAGCAUAAAGAGCUUCUGGAAGGUUCCAUUGCAAGGAAACUCCAUUGUUGUGGUGAGAAAUUCGUUUUUGUUAUUGUUGCGCAUUUCACACUUGCAGAGAUGAUGGGUUCGAAUUCAAAUCAUGAAUUCAAUAGCCCUUUUAGGUUUAAGGAAAAGGGUUGUCAACAAAAUUUCUCAUUGUUUUGUUAUUUCGCGGAGAUUAUGUAAGUUUGAUGAUGGUAAUAAUAAUGAGUUUGAUUGCAUUGAAGAGCCUUUGAAAAAAAUAGUUUCAGAUUUUGAUUCUAAUUUGGAUGAAAAUUUCCGUUUAAACGAGGAUUUAAGUUUUGAUCAAAAGCCGUUUUCAGUUAGAAAAGGGUUCUUAGAAAGUGUUAAGUUAGAUGCUAAGAGGGCUCUUGAGGUUCUUAGACAAGAUGGUCCUGGUCUUGAUGCUAGGUUAGUUUUAAAGGAGUUGCGUAUAAAGCCUUCGGGGAUUCUUGUUAGAGAGGUUCUCCUUGGAAUUUUGAAGAGCAUAAAUAGUGAGAAUAAGACUAGGUGUGCAAAGCUGGCUUAUAAGUUUUUUGUGUGGUGUAGUCAGCAGGAGGGUUACCGGCACACUCUGAAUGCCUAUCACUUGAUUAUGGAUAUAUAUGCUAAGUGCGAAGAGUUUAAGGCGUCGUGGAGGUUGGUUGAUGAGAUGAUUGAGAAAGGUUAUCCGGUUACUGCUCGUACUUUCAAUAUUUUGAUUCGUACUUGUGGCGAGGCAGGCUUGGCGAAGACAUUGGUGGAGAGUUUCAUAAAAUCGAAGAACUUUAACUUUUUGCCUUAUAAGCAUUCCUAUAAUGCAAUUCUACACAGUUUUCUUGUAUUAAACCAGUACAAAUUGAUUGAGUGGCUUUAUGAUCAGAUGCGCGAUGAUUUUUCCCCAGAUGUUUUAACUUAUAAUAUUGUCCUGUAUGCCAAGUACAGACUUGGAAAGGUGGAUCAGUUCAACAUACUGUUUGCUGAGAUGGGUAGAAAUGGAUUUUCUCCAGAUUUACAUACCUACAACAUUCUUCUUCAUGCUCUCGGUAAAGGGGACAAACCACUUGCAGCUCUUAAUCUUUUAAAUCACAUGAGAGAAACAGGUAUAGAGCCAACUGUACUUCAUUUCACCACAUUGAUAGAUGGACUCAGCAGAGCCGGGAAUCUCGUUGCCUGCAAAUAUUUUUUUGAUGAAAUGAUAAAGAAUGGGUGCAUGCCAGAUGUGGUGGCUUAUACUGUUAUGAUAACAGGGUAUGUAGUGGCUGGUGAGCUUGAGAAAGCACAAGAAAUGUUUCAAGAGAUGCUUUCUAAGGAACAAGUCCCAAAUGUUUUUACAUACAAUUCCAUGAUUCGGGGGUUAUGCAUGGCAGGUAAAUUUGAUGAAGCAUGCUCAAUGUUCAAGGAAAUGGGAAGUAAAGGUUGUAGUCCAAACUCUGUUGUCUAUAUUACAUUAGUGAGUUGUUUGCGGAGUGCUGGAAAGGUUGCUGAGGCACGUGAGGUGAUAAGACAAAUGAUGGAGACGGGGAAGUAUGCCCACUUACUUUCCAGAUUUAAAGAGUAUAAGAUGUAGUGGAUCUUUCCAAUAUGGAGAUAAUCAAAGCUGCCAAAUCUUAGGAUGGUACAACUUUAUAUACUGUGGAGGAACUUCAAUUUUCUACUGAUGGUACUUGCAAUUCAGAGUCCUUAAGAGUCAUUCCAUUUCAGUAUCACCAAUUCAGAUUCACAUUCAUCAUAGCAGCUCAAGUGAUUGUGCAAUGUGCUCCUUCUAAGCAUUCUAUAAGAUAUUCCAGUAUCAUGAUUGGAAGGAGCGGAGGCCAAUCACACAGUAAAGAAUUUUGUUCUCACGCUGAAAUAAUCAAGUUCAUUUGGAGGUCUAUGCGAGCUUGUAUUGAAAAGGGAGCUGAAGCCAUCACAUUAUACAUUGCUUGCUUUCAGGAAAACCAUGAUGUGAAAAUAAGUACCUGAGCCAUUGUGAACAAGGAAGAAGGGUGUGAAAAGAAUGAAGAGGAGAAUGAAGGCUUGAGAAGAAGUGGCUUUUUUUUGGCAAUAUAAGGUAAGGCCUGCGGUUGUGAAUGUCUUGUUUUAUUUGUGGGUGUGUCUGUGUUACAUUACAUCCUAAAAGAUGGAUACUUUAAAAUGCAAAUUUCUGGCCAGCAUGGAAUAACUCAAUAACACACAUAGGACAAAUGUUUGAUGUGGUGAUGACAUGUUA